UUUAUGGAGAGUUUGAUCCUGGCUCAGGAUGAACGCUGGUGGCGUGCCUAAUACAUGCAAGUCGAGCGAACGGACGAGAAGCUUGCUUCUCUGAUGUUAGCGGCGGACGGGUGAGUAACACGUGGAUAACCUACCUAUAAGACUGGGAUAACUUCGGGAAACCGGAGCUAAUACCGGAUAAUAUUUUGAACCGCAUGGUUCAAAAGUGAAAGACGGUCUUGCUGUCACUUAUAGAUGGAUCCGCGCUGCAUUAGCUAGUUGGUAAGGUAACGGCUUACCAAGGCAACGAUGCAUAGCCGACCUGAGAGGGUGAUCGGCCACACUGGAACUGAGACACGGUCCAGACUCCUACGGGAGGCAGCAGUAGGGAAUCUUCCGCAAUGGGCGAAAGCCUGACGGAGCAACGCCGCGUGAGUGAUGAAGGUCUUCGGAUCGUAAAACUCUGUUAUUAGGGAAGAACAUAUGUGUAAGUAACUGUGCACAUCUUGACGGUACCUAAUCAGAAAGCCACGGCUAACUACGUGCCAGCAGCCGCGGUAAUACGUAGGUGGCAAGCGUUAUCCGGAAUUAUUGGGCGUAAAGCGCGCGUAGGCGGUUUUUUAAGUCUGAUGUGAAAGCCCACGGCUCAACCGUGGAGGGUCAUUGGAAACUGGAAAACUUGAGUGCAGAAGAGGAAAGUGGAAUUCCAUGUGUAGCGGUGAAAUGCACAGAGAUAUGGAGGAACACCAGUGGCGAAGGCGACUUUCUGGUCUGUAACUGACGCUGAUGUGCGAAAGCGUGGGGAUCAAACAGGAUUAGAUACCCUGGUAGUCCACGCCGUAAACGAUGAGUGCUAAGUGUUAGGGGGUUUCCGCCCCUUAGUGCUGCAGCUAACGCAUUAAGCACUCCGCCUGGGGAGUACGACCGCAAGGUUGAAACUCAAAGGAAUUGACGGGGACCCGCACAAGCGGUGGAGCAUGUGGUUUAAUUCGAAGCAACGCGAAGAACCUUACCAAAUCUUGACAUCCUUUGACAACUCUAGAGAUAGAGCCUUCCCCUUCGGGGGACAAAGUGACAGGUGGUGCAUGGUUGUCGUCAGCUCGUGUCGUGAGAUGUUGGGUUAAGUCCCGCAACGAGCGCAACCCUUAAGCUUAGUUGCCAUCAUUAAGUUGGGCACUCUAAGUUGACUGCCGGUGACAAACCGGAGGAAGGUGGGGAUGACGUCAAAUCAUCAUGCCCCUUAUGAUUUGGGCUACACACGUGCUACAAUGGACAAUACAAAGGGCAGCGAAACCGCGAGGUCAAGCAAAUCCCAUAAAGUUGUUCUCAGUUCGGAUUGUAGUCUGCAACUCGACUACAUGAAGCUGGAAUCGCUAGUAAUCGUAGAUCAGCAUGCUACGGUGAAUACGUUCCCGGGUCUUGUACACACCGCCCGUCACACCACGAGAGUUUGUAACACCCGAAGCCGGUGGAGUAACCUUUUAGGAGCUAGCCGUCGAAGGUGGGACAAAUGAUUGGGGUGAAGUCGUAACAAGGUAGCCGUAUCGGAAGGUGCGGCUGGAUCACCUCCUUU
rnacentral:rRNA from 1 species